rnacentral:rRNA from 1 species
UACGAAGGGGGCUAGCGUUGCUCGGAAUGACUGGGCGUAAAGGGCGCGUAGGCGGUUUGCACAGUCAGGCGUGAAAUUCCUGGGCUUAACCUGGGGGCUCGCUUGAUACGUGUGGACUGGAGUGCGGAAGAGGGUCGUGGAAUUCCCAGUGUAGAGGUGAAAUUCGUAGAUAUUGGGAAGAACACCGGUGGCGAAGGCGGCGACCUGGUCCUUGACUGACGCUGAGGCGCGAAAGCGUGGGGAGCAAACAGG